AACAAUCAGUAUCGAUUGGGUUUGUAAUUUACUUCCUCUUUCGAUUUACUAAAUGGGAACGACGGGGCACAAAUACCAGAGAGUUCCCCUUUCAGAUACAGAUUCCACAGGGGACAUGCGAUACAGAUGGAUAUAUACUGUCAAGACUUCCGGGAGUGCCUGACUAUCAUUUCCUUUUUCCGCGAGAACAAGUGUGUCAAGUUUCUCAGAGAGUUUGUACGAGGAUCCGGGCAUCAAUAUACAGAAUUACGAAGUGUUAUAAUUGAACGAGAAAACAACGAAGAAGUAAUACAUCAGUUGCGGGAAGAAAUAGAACAUAAAGACAAUACGAUACAUGAACUACAAGAAAUAAAUCGAGCAACAGAACUAGACAAACGUAAUGCAGAGUUGGAAAAACAAGAAGCUUUAACAAGGUUGAGCGAUUUAAUGCCCGUAAAACUGCGAGACAACAAUCCGAAUAUUGCAGAUCUUAACGAUCCGUACAGACCAACGAAGUUAGCUGAGAUGUUUAGUGAAUUGCACCACAACGAAUGGACAGCUCUUUACACUGUAUUAGAAGAAUCGAAGUUUAAAGACAGACACAUAAUUAACUUCUUGCUCGACGUUUACAUGGUAACAUUAACAAACAAGUUCAACGUUUUGCAAAACGGAACUUGACGCUAACUGGCAGUUAGUUUCCAAAUGGUAUUUGAACGAAAAUUUACCUAACAACCAAGAUGUGAAGAAAGCGUUAAAAGAUGGUAGGAAGUCAUUGGUUCCACGUCUUGUUCCUGAAAUGGAAAAUAAAUUGUAUACCUUGCUCUGUGAUUUUUGCAAAAUCGAAAGCCUUCAGUUUGUUUUGACGAGUGGUGAAAUGAAAACAUACGUGGCAGGUUGCGUAAAAUUGAGUUUGAUUAUGAACGCGAACGAUCCACCGGUGGCCAUUGACUGUCCGGGCUGGGUUCCAUGCAUAUCGCAAAAAGAGUCAAUCUAUCAGUCGAAACAUGAAGAAGACCCCGGUUUACUCAAACAUAAGGGAAAUACACAAGUUCCUUCCAACGUUGAUGGUAAUGGCAGCAACCAAAAUAUUACACCGGAUCUUAAAGAGAGACGGGCUUUCAACAAAGAACUCUUUAAAGAAUACACUAUGAGAGGGAAAUAUGUCGAGUUUUUCGUGUGGCCAGUGAUGUAUCUGCACGAGGACGGUCCGGUGUUGACCAAGGGAAUUGCUCAAGGUGCCGAAGUCAAAAUGGUAUCAGAUAAUGACCACCGAUGGGAGUGGUGGAAGACCUCCGAUAGUUUGUAAAUAAAAAGGAGUGUACUUAAUAGUUGGGGUCAUAAUUUAAUUAAUUCUAUAUGCACGAGGAUUUGUUUUCAAAAUAGCACAAAUAUAUGUAAUGCUUAUCCGUGUGCAUGUGACUUAUUUUGCAUUCACGAUUGGUUUUGAUUUUGUUUGAGCACACAUUAAUGCAAUUAUGAUUAUCCUUGUCCAUAUAAGUAUUAAUGCACGGGUCUCUUCUUUUUGAAAUAGUACACGUAUUUAUAGUUAUCCAUGUUUAUUUGACCUCAAGAAAUGAAAAUGUGUCAUAUGAGUGAUUAUAAGGAAAACUUGUCACGCGGUAUGACGAUAUAAAUGGAAUAUUCUGGCUGAAUCUUGCAUCGGAGUGUACAGUUUUUGUUUUAUUUUUAGCCUUUCAAGAAGUUUGGACCCUCUAGUUAAGGAAUUCGUUUGGUGGCCUCAUGCAGCAUUUUACCUAAAACAACAAUUUACUUUUAUGUUUGUUUUAAUGAUUUAAUUUCUGUGAAAAACUAUACCAUAAUGCAUUUUUAUUGCAAACUACAUUUAGGCAUCCAUGGCCACAAAACAACCAAGAUGGCGUACAUAUGGCCGCCAAAAUAAGCAUUAAUUAACACAGACUAAAUAAAACGAACGCAACCGUUUACAAUGGCGUUUUUUCUUUAUUCAAAUUUACUUUUAAAGAACUUCUGUGAGACACCAUGCUUGUCCUUAAUGGUCGGAAUGAAAUGACCUUGCAUUAUUGUCAACUAAAAGUAAAACAUGCAGCCAUGGAUAAACUGUGUUAUAAGACCAGUGCUGAUCAUGAUGCUUUACAUCAUAGCUGAUACAGAAACUGACUGGGGUACAUUUGGUAGCUAUUAAAUGUAUGUUUCUCUACUUAUUUGCAGCAGGACAUGUGCACUACGCUAGAUAUUUUGCCUCUUAAGAUUGUUUAGCCUACUUAAGAUCUAUGGAGUCAUUGUCCGAUUCAUGAAGGGAAAUAUUUCGGAAAUUGACACAACAUUUUUGAGAUACGGGUAUGGAAAACACUCAAUUAUUGAUAAUACAAUGAAACCCGAUACACUCAAGAUGUCGCUUGGUCUACACAUUUGUAAAAGGCUGAAGGAAGAAAUCUCAAGUCUUGCAAAUAGUGUACAAGUUAAGCCAUCUUACGUUAAACCCGAAAAAGCAAAUGAAUAAUGCAAGGAUAUUUAGUGACUGCAAUGAUGGUAGACGACUAAGGAAAGCGAUAAUGAUUGUAUUGGAUCCGUCGAAUCAACCUCUGAUGAAACUAUCAACGUAGUUACAGUUCGGAUAACACAAGAAACUGUAAAUGUUGAUUAAGCUGUUGAUUGGAAUCUAUCAAAUGAAGGAAUUUGAAAAUAACAAUGGCAAAUAAUUCGCAAGGUUAGGGGUUGUAUUUACUUAAAACAAAUCAAAACAUUUAUGAAAUGACUAAUUUAAACGAAACAUCUAGGCCUGAUUGUAGAACCGAUUUUUGGUAACAUGUACAACAUUUUUGACCAUGUUUACUCAUGUUAUAGCAUGUCCACAAAAAAUCAAAAUAUUGUUUUUCUGAGUCUGCGUCUUAAGCUCAUUUUAUUCUCUAGAGUGACCACCCUUCAAGUGAGUGCACAUUACUUUAUGUGAAAGAUUGCUGACCGAUGGUAUAUUGUUUCAUGUUCCAACAUGGAUGUUUUAAAUGAGACUUGCAAUAUUCAAAUCCGUGCUGAAAAUGUGAAUGCAAUUUGAGAUGUCAGCAACAAAAGGUGCUGAAAUCUAAGCAAGUAGUGUUUGAGAUGAAACACCUGACAUCUCACCAUUCAACCCAACAUCAACUCGCUUCAUUUCGCAAUGUAGAAGCAUGUCAGUUGUUGACGACGAUAUGUCACAGGUUCGACAGAAAGUGUGCGUUUAUCUUCCCCCAACAACAGAGGCAUUAAUGAAAAUAUCAAGCGACCACAUGUUCAAACGUGUGUUUGGAAGUGUGCAGUAAACGUGGACUUGUUUGAAUAUGAUUAAGAAAAGAAGGACACGCGUCUUCAGUCCCAAUAAUGUUAUCAAUCAAAUAAUGUAGUAGUGGCCCCAGAUAAUGUGCAUAAACUUUUAAAAUGUUCCUUUGAGUAAACACCUUCCGGUGCCCUUGCAGCAAUGCGCGGAUGUCGCGUUCAAUAUGCUGUACAUGUCAAAAAUCAGAAAAUUGCUACGAUGAGCAAACACAGUUAAAACAUAUCUUUGAAUGAGCAUCUGCUCUAUUUAUGUUAGACCUGAUGUUGAAACGGUUGAAACCAUUUAAAACAUGCCAUAACAAUGAAUAUUACACCGCAAAUAAUUUGAAUCCGUUGGUUUCAUACAUGCUAGAAUAUAAACAAAUGUGCCCGUUUUAUUUCGUCUGUGUUAAGUAAUUUUUAUUUUGCGGCUUUUGUGGACGCCAUCUUGAGUGAUAUGUGACUUUAUAAAAAUAAAUGUUAUUUGUGAUACCUAUAUUGCAUAAUGAAUUGUUAUGUUAAAACGAGAUGAUGAUGUACAAAACUUAUGAUAUUUGCAACAAAACCUAACUAACUCAAUUGGCAAUUAUUUUUAUUUAGGCGGCAAUUUUUAACGCCAUGAUGGCCUAAAUAUGGUAUGAUUUUUUUUUGAAUUUAUUGAUUUGCAAUUAAGAUACAUUAUGGUUUAUUUGUGCACAUGAUCUAAAGUAUUAAAGCAAAAUUACAAGUCACUUGCUGAUUUGGGUAAAAUUAGGCGGCCAUCUUGGAAGCCAUGUUGAAUGUCUCGAUUUCCCAAAGAGUGGCUCGCGGCCAUCAUACGAAUUCCUUAACCAGAGGGUUUGAACUAAUUUAAACAUUUUCUAUAAACUCUAUAAACUCUGUUGCAAGGUACUCGACUUCCCCUGCCGGACUAUACAGCCCAAAUACAUCAAACAAUUCAUGAACGGACAUAUAUCAAUACAAGCAUAUCAUAUAUUUAAUAAAAAUGAUUACCUCCCUUUAACUAUUAUUGUUUAAAAUAUACUAUACCUUGUGUUGUCAAAAGUGCUUUGUGUUUUAAGGAGAAUAGAAGUCGUACAUAUUUGUUCGUAUAGUAUUAUACUUUUACAUAUACAUAAUGCAUGAUAUUUAAUUUAAAAAACAGAGUCAUUUUCAUUGCCUGAACAAUCCACACAAACACGUUUUUCUUUUGGAGUAUUAUAAUGUCAGCCAUACAGGAACACGCACAUAAGCCCAAAUCAUGAAGCUGAAAAAUAUAACAUUAAAAGAUGAGUUUAAUUCGCUUUAUCACAAAACUUUCCGUAGAUGUUCUCUUUCGAUUUUCUAAAUGGGAACGACGGUGCAUAACUACUAGACACUACUUUUUUUCCAAAACAGAUUCCUAUUAGGACAUACGAUGCAGCAAAAUAUAUAGUCAAGGUUUGAAUUGUAUAUUUUCUUUAUAAGUAUUACUAAUGCUCAAGCUCUCUUUAUUUUUAAAUGAGAUAUGUACAUGUUCACUACAUGCUUCUCUGUUCACAGUAUGUUGGUUUUAACAGGAUGAUGUCUGUUUUGAAUUGUCUUAUAACGUGUUCUUUUCAGUGUAUUACAUAUUCCUUCCAUAAUGAACUUCUAAUUUGGUUUUAUAAAGUAAUACCUGUGGCGAUAUUGUACGUAUGACUGGCUGAACAUGCACGUUUUGAAGUGAUGUUUUCAUUGUUUAAAAUAAUCAUUAUGGCAUACAUCGUGAAAUAGUACAUUUGAUUUAUA